UAGUUGGUGAGGUAACUGCUCACCAAGGCGACGAUGCGUAGCCGACCUGAGAGGGUGAUCGGCCACAUUGGGACUGAGACACGGCCCAGACUCCUACGGGAGGCAGCAGUGGGGAAUAUUGCACAAUGGGGGAAACCCUGAUGCAGCAGCGCCGCGUGAGUGAUGACGGUCUUCGGAUUGUAAAGCUCUGUCUUUAGGGACGAUAAUGACGGUACCUAAGGAGGAAGCCACGGCUAACUACGUGCCAGCAGCCGCGGUAAUACGUAGGUGGCAAGCGUUGUCCGGAUU
rnacentral:rRNA from 1 species